rnacentral:rRNA from 1 species
GACGAACGCUGGCGGUGUGCUUAACACAUGCAAGUCGAACGGUAAGGCCCUUUCGGGGGUCCACGAGUGGCGAACGGGUGAGUAACACGUGAGUAACCUGCCCUCAUCUCUGGGAUAACAGUCGGAAACGGUUGCUAAUACUGGAUAUGAGCUUGCAAGGCAUCUUGUGGGUUGGAAAGAUUUUUUUGGUUGGGGAUGGACUCGCGGCCUAUCAGCUUGUUGGUGAGGUAGUGGCUCACCAAGGCUUCGACGGGUAGCCGGCCUGAGAGGGCGACCGGCCACAUUGGGACUGAGAUACGGCCCAAACUCCUACGGGAGGCAGCAGUGGGGAAUAUUGCACAAUGGACGGAAGUCUGAUGCAGCAACGCCGCGUGCGGGAUGACGGCCUUCGGGUUGUAAACCGCUUUCAAUUGUGACGAAGCUUUUUGUGACGGUAGCAGUAGAAGAAGCACCGGCUAACUACGU